AACGAACGCUGGCGGCAGGCUUAACACAUGCAAGUCGAACGCCCCGCAAGGGGAGUGGAAGACGGGUGAGUAACGCGUGGGAACAUACCCUUUCCUGCGGAAUAGCUCUGGGAAACUGGAAUUAAUACCGCAUACGCCCUACGGGGGAAAGAUUUAUGGGGGAAGGAUUGGCCCGCGUUGGAUUAGCUAGUUGGUGGGGUAAAGGCCUACCAAGGGGACGAUCCAUAGCUGGUCUGAGAGGAUGAUCAGCCACAUUGGAACUGAGACACGGCCCAAACUCCUACGGGAGGCAGCAGUGGGGAAUAUUGGACAAUGGGCGCAAGCCUGAUCCAGCCAUGCCGCGUGAGUGAUGAAGGCCUUAGGGUUGUAAAGCUCUUUCACCGAUGAAGAUAAUGACGGUAGUCGGAGAAGAAGCCCCGGCUAACUUCGUGCCAGCAGCCGCCGUAACAC
rnacentral:rRNA from 1 species